CUCAAGAGCAAAAACACGUUUAAUGCAGCAGUUCCUAAUGGAUUACUGAAGUUAAAGAACGUCGAACGUGGUUGGUAUCCGGAUGGGUGACCAUGUAGGCAAUCACAUGUUGCUGGCU
rnacentral:rRNA from 1 species